rnacentral:tRNA from 1 species
AGCCCGGUAGUGUAGCGGUCAAGCACGGGGGCCUUUGGAGCCCUCGACCCCAGUUCGAAUCUGGGCCGGGCUA